rnacentral:tRNA from 1 species
CGGGAUGUAGCGCAGCUUGGUAGCGCACUUCGUUCGGGACGAAGGGGUCGAAGGUUCAAAUCCUUUCAUCCCGA